AACGAACGCUGGCGGCAUGCCUAACACAUGCAAGUCGAACGAGACCUUCGGGUCUAGUGGCGCACGGGUGCGUAACGCGUGGGAACCUGCCCUUAGGUUCGGAAUAACUCCCCGAAAGGGGUGCUAAUACCGGAUAAUAUCUUCGGACCAAAGAUUUAUCGCCUUUGGAUGGGCCCGCGUUGGAUUAGCUAGUUGGUAGGGUAAAAGCCUACCAAGGCGACGAUCCAUAGCUGGUCUGAGAGGAUGAUCAGCCACACUGGGACUGAGACACGGCCCAGAUUCCUACGGGAGGCAGCAGUGGGGAAUAUUGGACAAUGGGCGAAAGCCUGAUCCAGCAAUGCCGCGUGAGUGAUGAAGGCCUUAGGGUUGUAAAGCUCUUUUACCCGGGAUGAUAAUGACAGUACCGGGAGAAUAAGCUCCGGCUAACUCCGUG
rnacentral:rRNA from 1 species